rnacentral:rRNA from 1 species
AGUGAACGCUGGCGGUAGGCCUAACACAUGCAAGUCGAACGGCAGCACAGUAAGAGCUUGCUCUUACGGGUGGCGAGUGGCGGACGGGUGAGGAAUACAUCGGAAUCUACUUUUUCGUGGGGGAUAACGUAGGGAAACUUACGCUAAUACCGCAUACGACCUACGGGUGAAAGCAGGGGAUCUUCGCACCUUGCGCGAUUGAAUGAGCCGAUGUCGGAUUAGCUAGUUGGCGGGGUAAAGGCCCACCAAGGCGACGAUCCGUAGCUGGUCUGAGAGGAUGAUCGGCCACACUGGAACUGAGACACGGUCCAGACUCCUACGGGAGGCAGCAGUGGGGAAUAUUGGGCAAUGGGCGCAAGCCUGAUCCAGCCAUACCGCGUGGGUGAAGAAGGCCUUCGGGUUGUAAAGCCCUUUUGUUGGGAAAGAAAAGCAGCAGGUUAAUACCCCGCUGUUCUGACGGUACCCAAAGAAUAAGCACCGGCUAACUUCGUG